rnacentral:rRNA from 1 species
AGUGAACGCUGGCGGUAGGCCUAACACAUGCAAGUCGAACGGCAGCACAGUAAGAGCUUGCUCUUACGGGUGGCGAGUGGCGGACGGGUGAGGAAUACAUCGGAAUCUACUUUUUCGUGGGGGAUAACGUAGGGAAACUUACGCUAAUACCGCAUACGACCUACGGGUGAAAGCAGCGGAGCUUCGGACCUUGCGCGAUUGUAUGAGCCGAUGUCGGAUUAGCGAGUUGGCGGGGUAAAGGCCCACCAAGGCGACGAUCCGUAGCUGGUCUGAGAGGAUGAUCAGCCACACUGGAACUGAGACACGGUCCAGACUCCUACGGGAGGCAGCAGUGGGGAAUAUUGGACAAUGGGCGCAAGCCUGAUCCAGCCAUACCGCGUGGGUGAAGAAGGCCUUCGGGUUGUAAAGCCCUUUUGUUGGGAAAGAAAAGCAGCAGGUUAAUACCCCGCUGUUCUGACGGUACCCAAAGAAUAAGCACCGGCUAACUUCGUG